UACGUAGGGGGCAAGCGUUGUCCGGAUUUAUUGGGCGUAAAGAGCGUGUAGGCGGUUAGGUAGGUCCGUUGUGAAAACUGGAGGCUCAACCUUCAGACGUCGACCCAAACCCCCUGGCUAGAGUCCGGAAGAGGAGAGUGGAAUUCCUGGUGUAGCGGUGAAAUGCGCAGAUAUCAGGAGGAACACCGAUGGCGAAGGCAGGUCUCUGGGCAUUAACUGACGCUGAGGAGCGAAAGCAUGGGGAGCGAACAGG
rnacentral:rRNA from 1 species